AGCUCCAAUAGCGUAUAUUAAAGUUGCUGCGGUUAAAAAGCUCGUAGUUGGAUCUCAGUCUCGAUCGGACGGUCCUCCGCAUGGUGGUUACUGUUCGAAUCGGACAUUGGGCCGCGUUCUCGUGUAUCCUCUUGAUUGAGUGUACUCGAGGAGCGGCACGUUUACUUUGAAAAAAUUAGAGUGCUCAAAGCAGGCUUUGUGCAUGGAAUGAUGGAAUAGGGCCUCGGUUCUAUUUUGUUGGUUUCCGGAACUCGAGGUAAUGAUUAAGAGGGACGGACGGGGGCAUUCGUAUUGCGACGUUAGAGGUGAAAUUCUUAGAUCGUCGCAAGACGAACUACUGCGAAAGCAUUUGCCAAGAAUGUUUUCA
rnacentral:rRNA from 1 species